CCGUGAAACUGCGAAUGGCUCAUUAAAUCAGUUAUCGUUUAUUUGAUAGUACCUUACUACUUGGAUAACCGUGGUAAUUCUAGAGCUAAUACAUGCUAAAAACCCCGACUUCGGGAGGGGUGUAUUUAUUAGAUAAAAAACCAACGCCCUUCGGGGCUCCCUGGUGAUUCAUAAUAACUUAACGGAUCGCAUGGCCUUGCGCCGGCGACGGUUCAUUCAAAUUUCUGCCCUAUCAACUUUCGAUUGUAGGGUAUUGGCCUACAAUGGUUUCAACGGGUAACGGGGAAUUAGGGUUCGAUUCCGGAGAGGGAGCCUGAGAAACGGCUACCACAUCCAAGGAAGGCAGCAGGCGCGCAAAUUACCCAAUCCCGACGCGGGGAGGUAGUGACAAUAAAUACUGAUACAGGGCUCUUUUGGGUCUUGUAAUUGGAAUGAGUACAAUUUAAACCCCUUAACGAGGAACAAUUGGAGGGCAAGUCUGGUGGAACUCACGUUCUCGUAACGCUGACGCCAGCAAAAGUAGGGUCUCUCCUGGAGCUCCCUGCUAGUCGAGCACCUGUCAAUGGUAGGAAGGUGCCGGCAAGGUAACCUGGUACGGGGGACGUCUCCUGCAUUACUGUAGCAGCCAAUCCCGUGGUGGUUCUUCCCUCGAAUUAGGAGGUAGACUCAUCGUAACGCGCGCAAAGGUACCGGCUAGCUUGCUAGCUCGAGGGACGCGCUUAUUCCCAUGCGUAAGCAUGCCUCAAACUGGAAGCACCUACCAUGCAAAGGUUUGGGGAGUACUGUUAGUCACAGUGCAGGAUCAGUUGAUGCAUCACGUACAAGCAGGCGGUCCACCUUCCGCGCUCGAGUACAAAAUGUGCCAGCUAUGUAAAGGCCAGCAGCCGCGGUAAUUCCAGCUCCAAUAGCGUAUAUUAAAGUUGUUGCAGUUAAAAAGCUCGUAGUUGAACCUUGGGCCUGGCUGGCCGGUCCGCCUCACCGCGUGCACUGGUCCGGCCGGGCCUUUCCUUCUGGAGAGCCGCAUGCCCUUCACUGGGCGUGUCGGGGAACCAGGACUUUUACUUUGAAAAAAUUAGAGUGUUCAAAGCAGGCCUUUGCUCGAAUACGUUAGCAUGGAAUAAUAGAAUAGGACGUGCGGUCCUAUUUUGUUGGUUUCUAGGACCGCCGUAAUGAUUAAUAGGGAUAGUCGGGGGCAUCAGUAUUCAAUUGUCAGAGGUGAAAUUCUUGGAUUUAUUGAAGACUAACUACUGCGAAAGCAUUUGCCAAGGAUGUUUUCAUUAAUCAGUGAACGAAAGUUAGGGGAUCGAAGACGAUCAGAUACCGUCGUAGUCUUAACCGUAAACUAUGCCGACUAGGGAUCGGGCGAUGUUAUUAUUUUGACUCGCUCGGCACCUUACGAGAAAUCAAAGUUUU
rnacentral:rRNA from 1 species